CCCCCCCGCUCGUUCGAAAGUUCCUCCUUGAUUUAUGAUAUUUUCAGUUAUUGUUUUCGUUAUAAUAAUUCGAAAAACAAAAUUCUCCUUAUUAAGAGUAUUUGAUUUUGUUUUAUAGGUGUAGCAAACAUUCAUAUAUCUAAACAGCCCUUGAAGGGGAUGACAUGGGAUGAUUUUCAUAUACAACUAUCAAAAACUGCUCUAUAAUAAAUAAAUAUUAAUUUCCUGUCAGUUGGUAGGGUUAAGUCUGCUUUGAAAAUGUGUGCUAAAAAAUAGAUGGAAAGAGUAUUUUUUUUGUUUAGAAUUAAAAAAUGAUGAAAGAAAGAAAAAAGUGUUACAAAAUUGUUACUUGGUGGAUGCAACGAUAUUUAAGUGCACUCAAAUCGUGUUAAAGUGUUUCUGUAACUCACCACUGCUACACAAGUUGGUCUCAU